rnacentral:tRNA from 1 species
GAGGGUAUAGCUCAGUGAUGUAGAGUGUGUGCUUAGCAUCUAUGAGGUCCUGGGUUCAAUGCCCAGUACCUCCA